rnacentral:rRNA from 1 species
GUGGGGAAUAUUGGACAAUGGGGGGAACCCUGAUCCAGCCAUGCCGCGUGUGUGAAGAAGGCCUUUUGGUUGUAAAGCACUUUAAGCGAGGAGGAGGCUACUCUAGUUAAUACCUAGGGAUAGUGGACGUUACUCGCAGAAUAAGCACCGGCUAACUCUGUGCCAGCAGCCGCGGUAAUACAGAGGGUGCAAGCGUUAAUCGGAUUUACUGGGCGUAAAGCGCGAGUAGGUGGCCAAUUAAGUCAAAUGUGAAAUCCCCGAGCUUAACUUGGGAAUUGCAUUCGGUACUGGUUGGGUAGAGUAUGGGAGAGGAUGGUAGAAUUCCAGGUGUAGCGGUGAAAUGCGUAGAGAUCUGGAGGAAUACCGAUGGCGAAGGCAGCCAUCUGGCCUAAUACUGACACUGAGGUGCGAAAGCAUGGGGAGCAAACAGGAUUAGAAACCCGGGUAGUCC